AGUCGAACACUUUUGUUCUUGCACCAGGUGCUUGAGGAGAUUUGUAAUUUUACUUGCAUAUAUGAUCAAGUAUUGUGAUAGUGUCCAUAGUGGUGGAUCAAGUUAGGACCAUUAAAUGCAAGAAUGGAUCAAAAAAAGCAGAAGCAAAAGCGAAAAAAAAACCCAAAAACAACAUUUCCCUCAUCCUCUUCAGAUUCCCUUUUGUUUUUAACCCCAGAUGUUGUAGUUGGGAUUUUCUCUGGAAAUGCUUCGGGUAUCUCUGGCUCUUGAGUAACUCAAAAGAUAUGUAGAUUGCAGGUGUUGCGGUUAAAGUUUAUUUUGGUAAUCAAUAUAGUGAGAACGCUUUGCACGACUACAAUAAAGAGAUUGAUAUAAUGAAGAGACUACGUCAUCCAAAUGUGUUACUUUUUAUGGGAUCUAUAUGUCCACAAGAUAAACUUGCCAUCGUCACAGAAUAAUUAUCCAGGUAAUUAUUUAAAAGAUCUUUACAAAACUAUCUUGCUCUUCAGCCUAUAUGUGAAAAGAAAUCUAUUCAACGGUUUGUUACUUUCAUAGACAAAGAUAGUUCCAAGGAUUUUCAUAUCACAAAGGUUGUCUUUCUAAAUUUAGAACUUUUAAACUCUUAAACUGAUUUCUAAUUUGUUAAAUCUCAACUUGAUAUAUUUAUUUGUUUUUGGUUUGGAUUUGGAAGCCAAGAUCUUAUAUUAUGAACUGCUGAAUUAUAGCUACCAACCAUGAACGUUGAUUUAAUGGUUAAAAAGAAGGUAAUAGGAAUGUCAUUUAAAUUACAAAUUAAGAAAUUUUAGUUAUCGUAAUUGGGUUGAUUUUGUAAAAUGUACCAAAUUAUAGCAAUUCUUCAUGAAGAUGGUAAAUUACAGAAAUACCCUCAUUGAAUUUGCUUUCAUUUUUUCUUUAUGUUAAAACCGGCAUGAGUGGAAAUAAGUUCACGUAUUUUACCCAAGACAUCUGUGUUGGAUAAACCCCUAUAGCCCAUUUCCUUUUGUCCACUUUCAUGUCACUAUAUCCACUACUUGAUUCCUUGUGAGUAUUCAGAGAUGACAUGUCCGACCUUUUAUUCACAUGCACCUUUUUACCCUUAUGCACUAAAGAUUUAGGAGUCGUUUGUUUUUUUUUAGACACGAACCCUUUUUGUAAAAUACUUUCUGUUGGAGACGAUGGUCUGGUGACUUGAAGUGUUUUCCACAAACCAGCGCUUCCCUCUCCUUCUACCAGCUCCAUGUAACUCCUGCUUCGAUCAUCUCGUGUUUCUCAUUAAUUCUGUGUUUAAAACCACAAUUUCAGGAAAUCAAAUCAUGACUUUACUUGCCGCAAGAACAAAGGGGAAGCAGAAAACACCAGACUCCACCACACCGGUUGAUUUCGAAUACCUUUUUCGUUUCACUUACUGUAAUCGAUUGGGAGUUUCUUUGAUCGAGUUGACGAGUUCGACAAGGAAAUCAACAACGCAUACCGACACUGAUGAUAAUGAUUCAGCGCCAACGGACGCACAUGAUUCCCAUCUAGUUGAAAAUUAUGAGUACACAUACUAAACACAUUAAUGGGUAAUUAUAUUUGAUUUUUAUUUUAAUAUUACACCUCAUCAAUUCAACUAUGUGUUAUUUAAUAUUAAAUCAUUACACACAUUUA